rnacentral:rRNA from 1 species
UACGGAGGGAGCUAGCGUUGUUCGGAAUUACUGGGCGUAAAGCGCACGUAGGCGGCUUUGUAAGUUAGAGGUGAAAGCCUGGAGCUCAACUCCAGAAUUGCCUUUAAGACUGCAUCGCUUGAAUCAUGGAGAGGCGGGUGGAAUUCCGAGUGUAGAGGUGAAAUUCGUAGAUAUUCGGAAGAACACCAGUGGCGAAGGCGGCCCGCUGGACAUGUAUUGACGCUGAGGAGCGAAAGCGUGGGGAGCGAACAGG